UGAGCAUCAUUUGAGCUGCUUCCCUCUGCCACACUGUUCUGCCAUGAUGUUCUGCCACACUUCAAGCCUUGAGGAGUGGAGUCGGCUGUCUGUGAACUGGGACCGCUGAAACCAUUGCAACCAGUUCAUGAUUAAGAUGAUGGCAAUGCGAGGACUCCAACCCAACCCAACAAGUGGGACCAGUCUUUUCUCUGUCUGCAUUAGACCAGGCAGGAGAGACUUUAGAUCCCUGGCUAAGCAGCAUCACCACUCCUUACCAGCUUGAAGCAGCCAUAGAAGAUGGAUCUUUGCCCUUCAUUGAGCCUUAAAAAUAAGGGAUCACAAGUCUUGGGGGGUUGGGAGAGAGGUGAGACAUGAAUUUGGAGAUACAGAAAUGGAAAGAUAAGACAGUCUCAAAAAAGGAGUGCCAGGAGCCCUGGAAAGCAGGAAGUACCCAUGAACCUUUAAAAUACAAGCAUUGAUGAGCAACCCAGUCCAUGUCCUUAGACUGUACCCUUGACCCAUGCCCUUGGCCCAUGCCCUUGCCUGGAAAUGUAUCAUGAGGGAAAGGCACAAGCACUGGGAAUACUGGUGCGAAGUUGUGUACCUCUGCCUUGGCUGCACCUCUAGUCCAGCCCCUAGCAUUUGUCCCUCUAUAAAUAUCAAUGCCCCACACCAAGGGGUCACCAACUUUCCCUUUGGAGAUGGCCUGCAUUCUCUCUUGAAUGUGUACUUCUUACUUUACCGCCCCCCAAUGUCUCUUCCCUGAGAGAGCCUACAUUCUCCCGGAAUGUGUCUCUGUUUUCCUAAAUAAACCUUUGUCUAUGUCUCUGA